ACUCCUGCGGGAGGCAGCAGUGGGGAAUAUUGGACAAUGGGCGCAAGCCUGAUCCAGCCAUGCCGCGUGAGUGAUGAAGGCCCUAGGGUUGUAAAGCUCUUUCACCGGUGAAGAUAAUGACGGUAACCGGAGAAGAAGCCCCGGCUAACUUCGUGCCAGCAGCCGCGGUAAUACGAAGGGGGCUAGCGUUGUUCGGAUUUACUGGGCGUAAAGCGCACGUAGGCGGACUAUUAAGUCAGGGGUGAAAUCCCGGGGCUCAACCCCGGAACUGCCUUUGAUACUGGUAGUCUUGAGUUCGAGAGAGGUGAGUGGAAUUCCGAGUGUAGAGGUGAAAUUCGUAGAUAUUCGGAGGAACACCAGUGGCGAAGGCGGCUCACUGGCUCGAUACUGACGCUGAGGUGCGAAAGCGUGGGGAGCAAACAGGAUUAGAUACCCGUGUAGUCC
rnacentral:rRNA from 1 species